GAAGCCGCCUGUGAGGGAGAUGAGCUGUCAGCAACACUGCACUCAGAGGACUGCCCUUGCAGAGAGCUGCAAGCAGACAAACCAGAACUCCAGAGCCCCUGGUCUCCUGGCUCAUUUGAAUUUGUCCUCUAGUCUGUUACAUAUUUUUUUCACACGUAUAAUCGUUUGUUUGCAGUCUGGAAAUAUAAAACCAGUCAAGAAACAGAGGCCAGAGUAUUGGUCUGGACAAAGCUCCCAGGUGACAAUGAUGGGCCUUGUUGGUGUGCACAGUGCUGGUGGAACAAUCAAAACACACAUGGUGUGGAAGAGGAUGAAGAGUGGAACGCUGCCAUAAUCAGCCUUAGACAACCGGAGAGGAAGAAACAGAAACGACUGUCAACAAAAAUAAAUAUGGAGCCCUUACUCUGCGUGACAUACUGUGUUAGGCAUGGUGGGUAAUACAAAGAAAUUUAGGGCAGAGUUCAUGCCCUUAGGAAUCUCUCAAUCUAAGGCAGUAUAUGGGGGGAGUAGAAAUACAGAGUCAUCACUUGAAGCCUAUAAUUUGAACAAGUAUAUAAUAAAAGGUCAAGGACUCAGCAUUAAGAAUCUCAAAUGAAGAGGCAUCAUUCCACUACUCUCAGCUGGUAUGGGAAAAAAUCUACUGGGUUACAUGAGAACACCCCUAAAUCUGGAAGAAAGGAAAAAAAAAACCCAACUAUUUGAUGAGUACAUAUCAAGUGUCAGGUACUAAGGGCUAUACAUGUAUUAACUCAAUCCUCACAGUAAUCUUUAGAAUGAGUACUAUUGCUGUUUCCGCUGCACAGAUUUGGAAAUUGAAGCAUCAAAGUUAAGCACUGUGAGUGAAAUACAGCCGGAAUUGUCUACCUUAUGUCUGAGUGCACACAGACCCCACAUGGGUCACCCACAGUUCAGCAGUAAGGAGGCAAUGGGGAUGAUGUGAGAACUCCUUGUAGAGCCUGCCCACUUUAUACAAGUAAAUGUAUCCAUGAUAGGUGAUAGUCAAAUACAUAAAGAAAGGUUCUUUGUUCUUCUUAAAUAAGGAUUCCAGAUAGUCUGUGCAGAUAUUCCUCUAGAGAUGACCACCUAGGGUUCCCGAUCUUUUCUUUUUUAUUCUUCUAUGCAAAGUCCUAUUAGAUAAAUGGAUAUUUGUGCUUUUGCUUUCGUGUGUAGUUACCUUUGCAUCCAUGAAAGAUUAUACAAUGACAUUUUUUUAAGUAGUAAAUUUAUGACCCAGGAGAGUUUAGAGUAGGGAAGCAUGAGAUGGAAAGAGUUGAGGGAAAAGCCUAGAUCAAAAGAAAGGGAAGGCAGUGUUGACAUAAGCGAACAGGGUACUUCCAUUUCCAAAUAAAAAAUUUGUUUAGGUGAGGAGCCACAAAUAGACCAAUUAAGAUGUAUUUUUCAAGAACCAAUUAUUCAUCUAAGCACUGUUUAGAGAUGCUGUGGGGGAAAUGGCAUCAUCGUGCUUUUGUGUAUUCCCCAUUAUCAUUGGGGAAAGAAAACUAAAGCAUUCAAAAUGAUGAACAAGAAGCUCUGACCACAAAUCUAAAAGUUCAAGCAGAGUGUAAGAGAAAAAAAUGCCUUCCUGCCUUGAGUUUUAUGAGAAAGCAGAACUUACAUUGUGAGUCUGAAGAUGGAUUUUUGGGACUUUGCCUGAAGAGCCCUGUAGAGAAAAUCAGGCCCUGGGCUAGAUGGCUUCUUCUCCACCAGUUUCGCUGCUUGCUUCCCCUACAUGCACAGAAGGCAAAUAGCUCUGUGGCCUACUUGAUUAAACGCUUCAUCAGGCAGGCCUUCCCCUGGGAACUGUAUGCAUCAUCUCACUGCCUUUCAAGGCAGUUGUUUCUCAUUGUAUAGAUGUGCCUGAGUGAAUAAAUAAUCUAGAGUUCCAAUGCCAAAGGCUAAUCUACCCUGGCUUGGGAAAUAUCUGUUUUUUUUGAAACCUUAAGCAGCAUGAAUUAUAUUGAUAGGUUUGCAUGUUUCUGGCUAACCACCAAGCUCCCCACCCCCAACCCCUGCUUCCAGGAGGAUGGGAAAGUUGCGGGAUGAAGCUUUCUCACAGAACUUACCACUAACUCUAAAGUGAACUGGCUACAGUGAAUACUCAUCUUUUCCCUGUACAGUCUUCAUUGGAUUGGCAACAUGUAUAAUUACUGUGAUGGCAGAGGAACCCUGUGAUAUUGAGUGAAGGACCAGCUCUUUUGGGGAUUUGCAGACAGCCCUCCCCAAAAGUCAUUUUCUGAAAGACCCGACCACCACUGAACCCAUUGAAGUAGAGAUACAUUUUGCUUUGCUUGGGCUUACAUGGAUUUCAAAAUGUAGUGCUUUCAUGUCUUGGAAAUAGGAACUUUUUAGAAAGUGAAUGCUUACUAGUUAAAGGGAUUUGAAUCUCUCAGAUGCUGUUUUCUAAAGUUCAAGGCAUUUCAGUCUCUAUCAAUGGGCUACAAACCACUCACUGUAUGCCACACUUAUCCAAUUUGCAAGGAUGUUAGUUUUAAAAAAUAUUUUCUCUCAAGGGAAAAAAAAAAAGCUUCACAGAGAGAGCCUACCCAGGAGUAAAUUAUAAAGAUCUCCCACGGACAUCAGAGCUACAUAAACUUAAGGGUAAUUACCACCUUGGUAGGAAAAAGGAGUCUUUAUUUUUUUACCUUUUCACCAAAAGACUAUCCACUCCUAGAGGUUCACGAAAGGUCGCUGGCAGAAUCUAACCUCUACUUUAUGCAAACUACCAAAGCUAAAUUACACACACUUUUAAGAGCUUCUUCACAAAUGCCAAUUUCUAGUCCAAUCAUUAGUAAAACCUCAAGUCAGUGUCAAAUGCUUGUAAAUAAUAUCAAGGUUCUUUAGUUGGAUGCUGUUUACGCCAGAUAGAUUUAAUUCUUUUCCACUCCAAUUCUUCAUAACUAGAGGGCAACUAGAGGAGAAACUGAUGUUGUAAAAAUAAGCCUUGAAAGGUGCUUUGGCUCUUCUAAAAAUAAAUGAUCUAGAUUCUUUCUGGGAGUAUGAUCUCUCAUGAGAGUAUGUUAUGUAUUUGCAAUUGAUAUCACUUACUGAGAAUCCUGUGGCAUCAUUUAGUAUGUUAUGGGUUUUCAGAGAUUCUUGUUCUACAUUUUCCUUUAUCUGGACUGUUAGGAAAUGGUGAUAUUACUCAAGAUAGUGGGAGAGAACUGAAUGUUCUUGAAGAGCAAAGGGCAAAAUUGUGAAAUGAGAAUCUGCUUCUAAUACUCUGAGACUGCCCUUUCUUCAGCUAGCUCUCUUCCUAGCUAGCAUAUAAUCUAAUGCCUUCUAGGAACAUUUGUAUGCUAAAAAAGCAUAUUCACAUGUAUUCAUCUUUGUACUCCCAUUUGCUCAGCGUGACUUUUGCUUGUUAGUUGAAAGUACUCAAGAAGAUUAGGAUUAUUAUUUAAUCUAUUCACUCCCCAGGGCUAGACUUCAAAGUAAAGCCUCUAGAUCUAGGGGACCUUUCUAAUAGGCUUCAAAUCACACUGGUCAGGCAACUUCUCUUGUGAUGCGUCUGAUGUGAUCUGAGAUAUUGCUGGGUUGAUAUGGCCUAGUGAGGGCUCCUACCUAAGGAGACAGUUUCUGUGAAGCAGAAUGAGGAGACAGUUUGUAUAAAGGGAGAACCAGUCUCAUUCUUCAUGGUCAGAAUGAAAGUGUACUUCAAAGCUUAUACUAUAUGCCUGAUAAUGUAAACUACUAAGAAUGGUGCAUCCCCUACCUUUGAAAUAAAUGGUGCAUCUGGGUCAAUAGGAAAUGGUUUUGUUUGUUUUUUCAUUUCUCCUUUAUAGUAUAGCACUUGGAAGCAUAAAUGGGUUUUCAAACCAUUUUUCUAUUUUAAUGCCAGGAAAUAAUUUCCCU